AGAAACUACAAAGGAAGUUGACGGGGAGCACUACAACGGGUGGAGCCUGCGGUUUAAUUGGAUUCAACGCCGGAAAUCUCACCGGGGCGACAGCAAUAUGAAGGUCAGGCUGAAGACCUUACCCGAUUAGCUGAGAGGUGGUGCAUGGCCGUCGUCAGUUCGUACUGUGAAGCAUCCUGUUAAGUCAGGCAACGAGCGAGACCCACGUCCACAGUUGCCAGCAUACCCUCCGGGGUGAUGGGUACACUGUGGAGACCGCCGCUGCUAAAGCGGAGGAAGGAGUGGGCAACGGUAGGUCAGUAUGCCCCGAAUCUCCCGGGCUACACGCGGGCUACAAUGGUUGGUACAAUGGGCAUCUACCCCGAAAGGGGAAGGAAAUCUCUUAAAGCCAAUCGUAGUUCGGAUUGAGGGCUGCAACUCGCCCUCAUGAAGCUGGAAUCCGUAGUAAUCGCGUUUCAACAGAACGCGGUGAAUACGUCCCUGCUCCUU
rnacentral:rRNA from 1 species